GACAGAGGGUGCAAACGUUGUUCGGAAUCACUGGGCGUAAAGCGCACGUAGGCGGACUCUUAAGUCGGUGGUGAAAUCCUGGAGCUCAACUCCAGAACUGCCUUCGAUACUGAGAGUCUCGAGUCCGGGAGAGGUGAGUGGAACUGCGAGUGUAGAGGUGAAAUUCGUAGAUAUUCGCAAGAACACCAGUGGCGAAGGCGGCUCACUGGCCCGGUACUGACGCUGAGGUGCGAAAGCGUGGGGAGCAAACAGG
rnacentral:rRNA from 1 species